AUGACAAGAGUAGAAAGUGAAGCCCUCUGUUUAUCUGCAGAAUUGGUACAGAGGGGCAUUGGCAACGCAAGUUUCUCUUCAUCACCCCAAUCUGCGUGCUGCAGCUGUAACCUUGAGGGAUCACCUUUAGGAAGGAGAGAAGAUGACUUGGUCUUCCUACUCUUUCUAUGCUUAGCCCCU
rnacentral:sRNA from 1 species